UUUAGCUGGGGUUCAAAAAUGUAAAUAGCAGAGAAGCAGCAUAAUGGUAGAGUACUGUGAGUUUUGUUUUGUUUUGUUUUGUCUCCACUGAGUACUUCUUUCAUUAGGUAGCAGUGCAGGUCUCUCUACUAAUGCCUCUCAAUGAGUGUAGGAAUUUUGGGCCAGUAAAACACCGCACUACUCCCCAGAAGACUAAUUAAGGGAAUGGAAUGGAGAACCAAACAGAGAACUGAAUGUUUACCAUGAGUCUGGAACAGCCCACAAGGUCCACAACAGAACAUGGAAGUCAUGAUUUAGGCCAAAGGUUUUAGUCUGACGUUGCACAGAGAUGACCCACGCCAUAGUCGGGGGCGGAGGCAGAGUGAGGGCAGCCAGCUUCAGCAGUGUUACUGAGCAUGCUCAUUCCAUGGAUCAGUCACAUUCUCUCAGUGCAGGGGCAUUGUUGGUGUCUUCAUUCCAAAAUGUGUGGAUGGAUGAUCUAAGAGCACUGAGAUGAACACCCUGUUCAUUCCCUGGGUGUGACUCGCAGUGGCAUCCAAGAAAAAGAAGAAAAAAAACCCACUGUCUUCCUGGACUGGCAUCCAGCGUUCCAACUGAAUGGUCAGUGGCACUGGGGCAGAUCAACUCAUCAUCUUGAAUCUCUGCCCCUCCUGACUGGGGAAAGCCAGUGUGGAAUGCCUCUAUCCAUUGCUGAUAGGGAGCGUGAAUGCCUCCCUAAGGGAGGGUAAGUUGCCAGCAAUCCUUUGAAAAUGCAGUGGUUUGGCUCUUGCAGGAGAAACCAUCACCAAGACUGAUGUCCUCUUCAUCUUAAUCACCAAGGCUACCUGUGACCAGCUACAUAAGCUGCCCUCACCUGAAACACUUAAGCUAACCGUCCCAGAGACAUGGCUUUAGAGAAUUAGGGUUAGUACUUUCUUGGUAGCAGGUCCUGGCUUCUGGAAAUCACUCCUGUGAGAAAUAUGUGUCAGCCUGAGACUGGAAACACUCAGAAAUAGUGUAAGAGGCACCUCUUUGUGCAAGCUUUUUACUAAAUGCCAGGUCCAAAAGAAACAUUUAUCAGCUCUCUUCUGGAAAGCCAUAGUGUUAUGUGGAUUCCUGGGGUUUUGCUUGAAAAAGGUUAUUGCUCGUAAUCUACACCAUAUAUAAAGCACACCCAGAUAACAUGGUAAUGCCAUUAAUAACUAAAUUAAUGUACCUGCUCCAGGGAUCUGACUAAGACAGAUUUCUCCUUUCCUCUGUGAUACAAAAAGGAGGGGUAUGGAAGCACUCGGUGUUCAGGUGUACGAACCACUAGCACAAUGCAGAAACGGCACCACUCUGCAGUUAGCCAGCAAGCAAUGCUUUACCCUCUUCUGACGUAACUUUUGCAAUGAGAAGCAUUAAGGUGAUGACUGAAGGGGAAGUAGGAUUGCAUACGUUUUCCUUCAGUCUCUCUACUGUUCAUGACUCCCUCUGAAUUCAACUAAAGUGUGUCACAGUUAGGAACUGGGGAUCCGAGUCAAAAGCGAAUAUUUGAACGAACCAGUUUUGUAGCCACAAUUGUACUACCAACAGAACUCAUUUUCACCUUCCCUGAAGAAGCACCGCCCACAGUGGAAGAACAUUCCCAUUAUUUCAUUUUUUAAACAUUUAAUCUUUGAUUACAUUUUCAAAAAUUGAACAUCAAUAUAGGAAGAGUAUAAAACAGAAAAAUAAGUACCUGGUCCACCACUGCAGUAUUACUUUACUAUAUGUUAAUCAUUAAGUUUUGUCACAAAGACAGUGCUUAUUUACUAUUUCAGGAAAGAGAAGCAAAAUUAGUAUGUCCCCAAAAUGAAUAUAUUCAAAGUCCUACUAGAAAGCAUUUCCAUACUCUACUCUCCUUUCCUCUUUGCAGGAUCCCAGCAAAGAACACAAGCAGUUUGCAAGGGAAUUAAAAAACCCUUAAAACCCUCAAACAAACCCGCAAUUUGAAUCUCCAGUGAAAUGUAUCCCUCUCACAUCACUAUACAUUCUUCAGUACCCAAUAGCACACAUCUUUCCUCUGCUGCCAAGACUACUUGCUCUGGAAAUGCAUUCCCCUCUGUCUAGCAUCUCAGCAUCAACUUCAGCUAGUACAUGACAGGUAUUCCUGCCAUGGUGCACGCCCCUUCUUUUUCCCACACUUCCCUCAAAUUCUGCAUUCGAAAGCACUUUGCAAAGCACUUUUACUCUGAAGGUUUCCAUCGGUGGCUAGAGGAGCAAAUUUGUAUUCUGAGAUCAAUAACAGACUACUGUAUAUUUUGCUGGUAUCAAGGAGAUAUUUCGAGCCAGUUUUGCAUUGAGUUAAAUGGAGUGUGUCCAUGACUUAUGCUGCUCCUCAAGUGCGUACAUGGUAACUACAGGAGUGACCACCUUCUAGACGUCGUGCAAUGGCCAGUGUAGUCACAGGUGAAGAGACUAGCGUCCCCUUCACAUGUAAUCUUACUAGUGUCAUAGCUGCAGUUUACUUGUUUGGAAAUUCCCCAGCUAAGGUGUGUGAGAUGCUAUUAUGGAAAUAUAUGAUCCUGGUUAAACAAAGGCCCUGCAGUUGUUUGUUCCUGUAGACCUGAAUGUCACACCACUGAAGCCAUUGGGAGCUUUGUCCCUGAAUUCAAUGAGCACAGGAUCAGGCCAAUAGUCCCCCAGUCAGGAGCCCUUAGCAGAGCUUUCAGUGAGACUACUUUAUGUGAGGAAAUGCCACAAAAUAGAAGAGUCGCAAAAUUGUGCCUGUAGCAUUUGCAGUAUGUCCAACCUGCCCCAGAGAAUCCCUGGACCCAAUUCACCACAGGUACUGCUUCAUUAAAGUACCUGGAGUCACACUUGCCUCAACCAGUGGCGAAGCUGAUCCCUAAGAUUGCCACUACCU